rnacentral:rRNA from 1 species
AUGAACGCUGGCGGCGUGCCUAAUACAUGCAAGUCGAGCGAACGGACGAGAAGCUUGCUUCUCUGAUGUUAGCGGCGGACGGGUGAGUAACACGUGGAUAACCUACCUAUAAGACUGGGAUAACUUCGGGAAACCGGAGCUAAUACCGGAUAAUAUUUUGAACCGCAUGGUUCAAAAGUGAAAGACGGUCUUGCUGUCACUUAUAGAUGGAUCCGCGCUGCAUUAGCUAGUUGGUAAGGUAACGGCUUACCAAGGCAACGAUGCAUAGCCGACCUGAGAGGGUGAUCGGCCACACUGGAACUGAGACACGGUCCAGACUCCUACGGGAGGCAGCAGUAGGGAAUCUUCCGCAAAGGGCGAAAGCCUGACGGAGCAACGCCGCGUGAGUGAUGAAGGUCUUCGGAUCGUAAAACUCUGUUAUUAGGGAAGAACAGAUGUGUAAGUAACUGUGCACAUCUUGACGGUACCUAAUCAGAAAGCCACGGCUAACUACGUG